CUUUAUCAUUUUUUAGCAAAUUGUACUCUAUGAAUUAUGAAAGCAAUAAAGCCGGCACCCACGAAUUUCGGGGUCCUUUGCUGUUUCAGCUUUUGAAAGCAUGAGUCUUUAUUGUUCUAUAAGUCGCCCAAACAUGGACGCUAUCAAAUUCAAAGAGCGUAAGUCGCCAUGUUGCACUUGCUUCAAAACUGGGCUUUGAUAAACCGCCAAAGAGGACCAAUGUUGCCAAGUUGCACGAUCCAAACAUAGGCGCCUUAUAUAGUUUUGAGAAUUAAACCGGCUUACUUGGGGGCUACUAGUCCCCAAGUCGUUUUGCAGUAAGAGCGUAUACGCUUCUGUAAUCCUAUGUCUGGUUUCUUCCUAAACCAUAGGUCACUUGGGGGCUUCCACCCAUUGAGUUCAGCCUGAAUACCGUCUUGGCUAGCGAAAAAUUACCGCAUUACAAAUGGUUAUACUGGACUAUGUGUUGAACAAGUCACCACAUGGACCUAUGUACUCGAGACGAGUCAAUCCGCUAUUUGGAC
rnacentral:lncRNA from 1 species